UACGUAGGGUGCAGGCGUUAAUCGGAAUUACUGGGCGUAAAGGGCUCGUAGGCGGCCAACUAAGUCAGACGUGAAAUCCCCGGGCUCAACUCGGGAAUUGCAUUGGAGACUGCAAGGCUAGAAUCUGGCAGAGGGGGGUAGAAUUCCACGUGUAGCAGUGAAAUGCGUAGAUAUGUGGAGGAACACCGAUGGCGAAGGCAGCCCCCUGGGCUAACACUGACGCUCAUGCACGAAAGCGUGGGGAGCAAACAGG
rnacentral:rRNA from 1 species